rnacentral:rRNA from 1 species
CUGCAACUCGCCUGCAUGAAGCUGGAAUUGCUAGUAAUCGCGGAUCAGCAAGCCGCGGUGAAUACGUUCCCGGGCCUUGUACACACCGCCCGUCACACCAUGAGAGUCGGGAACACCCGAAGUCCGUAGUCUAACCGCAAGGGGGGCGCGGCCGAAGGUGGGUCCGGUAAUUGGGGUGAAGUCGUAACAAGGUACC